rnacentral:rRNA from 1 species
UACGUAGGGGGCAAGCGUUGUCCGGAAUCAUUGGGCGUAAAGAGCGUGUAGGCGGCCCGAUAAGUCCGCUGUGAAAGUCCAGGGCUCAACCCUGGGAUGCCGGUGGAUACUGUCGGGCUCGAGUCCGGAAGAGGCGAGUGGAAUUCCUGGUGUAGCGGUGGAAUGCGCAGAUAUCAGGAGGAACACCGGUGGCGAAGGCGGAUCUCUGGACCAGUUCUGACACUGAUGAGCGAAAGCCAGGGGAGCAAACAGG